CAAGACCAAUAAGGCCCAUCAAAGACCUGCAGGGAAAGAAAUACAGCAAACAGAGACCGUCGCAAGAAUUUCCUCCAAGCCCAUCGCUUCCUUCUGACAUUUUGGAGCCCAGAAAUGCCUAUCGGAGCCCAGUGCCCUGGAGACGCAGGAGAAGGAGGCUUUGAAGGAUCCCGCUCGCUCAGGGCUUUGUGCCUGGUUUCAACCACUGUGAAGCUGCGUUGUACAAGGA